CAGAAAAUAGUUUAGUAAAAAUAAUAGCUUUGGGAGUUAUUGAGACAAGUGUUAAUUCUUGUUUUUCUGA
rnacentral:tRNA from 1 species